rnacentral:rRNA from 1 species
AUGGAGGUGGUCUUUGUUGGAGGAGGUGCUGGUGGUGCCAAUGACUGGAUGUACCAAAUCAGUAAAGAGACUCGAUGUUGUGAUGAUGUUGAUAGCAGGCGUAGCCUUUUCAGGACUUAUUUGCGGAAACAGAAUGUUCUUUUUGCCUUUGUCAAAUAUAGAAAUAUUCUGAGCGAAAAAAAGCUGCUCAGCACCGAAUGCCCAUCUUUGGAAAAUCUGCAGUUGGCAGACAACACACCUGAUUUUCCUGAGAUUUCACCAGUCAUUGAAGACUCUGGAAAUAAUAGAGGUUGCAUUCGAAAGAAUGACUCCAAGGUGCCCAAUGUUCAUCAAUCUGACAAGUCUCUCCCUUGGAGAAUGGUGUUUUUCCAACAAAUCUGCUCCUUUAGCUUGCUUCUUCGAGCACUCUCCUAUGCUUUAGAUUCUUGGUCUGAAGCUCAAGGUGGUUGA